rnacentral:rRNA from 1 species
GGUUUGAUUCUGGCUCAGAUUGAACGCUGGCGGAUGCUUUACACAUGCAAGUCGAACGGCAGCACGGACUUCGGUCUGGUGGCGAGUGGCGAACGGGUGAGUAAUGUAUCGGAACGUGCCUAGUAGCGGGGAUAACUACGGUGAAAGCGCCAAUACCGCAUAGCUGCCCUUCGGGGGAAAGCGGGGACCUUCGGGCCUCGCACUAUUAGAGCGGCCGAUAUCGGAUUAGCUAGUUGGUGGGGUAACGGCUCACCAAGGCGACGAUCCGUAGCUGGUUUGAGAGGACGACCAGCCACACUGGGACUGAGACACGGCCCAGACUCCUACGGGAGGCAGCAGUGGGGAAUUUUGGACAAUGGGGGAAACCCUGAUCCAACCAUCCCGCGUGCGAUGAAGGCCUUCGGGUUGUAAAGCACUUUUGGCAGGGAAAGAAAACGGCACGGGAUAAUACCCCGUGCAACUGACGGUACCUGCAGAAUAAGCACCGGCUAACUACGCCAGCAGCCGCGGUAAUAUUGUAGGGUGCGUUAAUCGGAAUUACUGGGCGUAAGUGCGCAGGCGGUUCGGAAAGAAAGAUGUGAAAUCCCAGAGCUUAACUUUGGAACUGCAUUUUUAACUACCGAGCUAGGAGUGUGUCAGAGGGAGGUGGAAUUCCGCGUGUAGCAGUGAAAUGCGUAGAUAUGCGGAGGAACACCGAUGGCGAAGGCAGCCUCCUGGGAUAACACUGACGCUCAUGCACGAAAGCGUGGGGAGCAAACAGGAUUACAGCCCCGGUAGUCCACGCCCUAAACGAUGUCAACUAGCUGCUGGGGCCUUCGGGCCUUGGUAGCGCAGCUAACGCGUGAAGUUGACCCGCCUGGGGAGUACGGUCGCAAGAUUAAAAACUCAAAGGAAUUGACGGGGACCCGCACAAGCGGUGGAUGAUGUGGAUUAAUUCGAUGCAACGCGAAAACCUUACCUACCCUUGACAUGUCUGGAAUCCCGAAGAGAUUUGGGAGUGCUCGCAAGAGAACCGGAACACAGGUGCUGCAUGGCUGUCGUCAGCUCGUGUCGUGAGAUGUUGGGUUAAGUCCCGCAACGAGCGCAACCCUGUCAUUAGUUGCUACGAAAGGGCACUCUAAUGAGACUGCCGGUGACAAACCGGAGGAAGGUGGGGAUGACGUCAAGUCCUCAUGGCCCUUAUGGGUAGGGCUUCACACGUCAUACAAUGGUCGGGACAGAGGGUCGCCAACCCGCGAGGGGGAGCCAAUCCCAGAAACCCGAUCGUAGUCCGGAUCGCAGUCUGCAACUCGAUCAGAAGUCGGAAUCGCUAGUAAUUGUGAUCAGCAUGUCGCGGUGAAUACGUUCCCUGGUCUUGCACACACCGCCCGUCACACCAUGGGAGUGGGUUUUACCAGAAGUAGUUAGCCUAACCGUAAGGAGGGCGAUUACCACGGUAGGAUUCAUGACUGGGGUGAAGUCGUAACAAGGUAA